AUGUCAACAAUUCUAAAUUUCGCGGUUAUACCCCCAAUUUCAUUUCGUUUACGCCACCAAAAACAACAAGACAAGUACGAGUUCACCUUCACCAUCACCUUCACCUUCACCAUCAUCAUUCUCUCCAAUUUCUCUUCCUCCUCCACCACUUCACCACUAGAUCCCUACCUCACUCAAUUCAACCUCGAUUCACUGAUUCUCCGUCAUCGAUCGGUUUCCAAUUUCGAUUCCGCGUUUUUCAGAUCAAAGUCUGGCAGACUUGCAUCUUCCGGGUUUUGA